rnacentral:piRNA from 1 species
UAUGAGCAGGUCACAUGGCUUCUGUCU